GAGAAUCAAGGAAUUUACGCCGACAUUACUCUCCAGUCGAUAUAAAUUCCACAAACUUUAAAAGAAACAUAAGAGUUACAGAAGAGGUGGCAAGGAGAGAGGCCUCUGUGGGUACGCAAUGUCACCUGCGGAUGGUGAUGUCUCAGAAAGCCUCUCUGAUAUUGACGAUGCAGAGGUUGUUGGCUACCUUAACAGCAAGCAGGCGGCACUGUUUAAAAGAAUGAUUUGGGAAGCAAUGAACAAGGACUAUGAUAAGCAUUGAGUCUUAUGUAUUGAUCUCUAUAUGCAACUAUAAAAUUGGCAGGG